CCUACGGGAGGCAGCAGUGAGGAAUAUUGGUCAAUGGACGCAAGUCUGAACCAGCCAAGUCGCGUGCGGGAUGAAGGCCCUAUGGAUUGUAAACUUCUUUUAUACGGGAAUAAACUGCGGGACGUGUGCCGUUUUGUAGGUACCUCAUGAAUAAGGACCGGCUAAUUCCGUGCCAGCAGCCGCGGUAAUACGGAGGAUCCGAGCGUUAUCCGGAUUUAUUGGGUUUAAAGGGGGCGUAGGCGGCCCUUUAAGUGAGGUGUGAAAGGCCGUGGCUCAACCAUGGAACUGCCGCUGAAACUGGGGGGCUUGAGUGUGUUUGAGGCAGGCGGAAUGCGUGGUGUAGCGGUGAAAUGCUUAGAUAUCACGCAGAACCCCGAUUGCGAAGGCAGCCUACCAAGCCAUGACUGACGCUGAGGCACGAAGGCGUGGGGAUCAAACAGGAUUAGAUACCCUAGUAGUC
rnacentral:rRNA from 1 species